ACUCCUACGGGAGGCAGCAGUCGGGAAUAUUGGACAAUGGGCGAAAGCCUGAUCCAGCAAUACCGCGUGUGUGAAGAAGGCCUGCGGGUUGUAAAGCACUUUCAGUUGGGAAGAUAAUGACGUUACCAACAGAAGAAGCACCGGCUAACUCCGUGCCAGCAGCCGCGGUAAUACGGAGGGUGCAAGCGUUAAUCGGAAUUACUGGGCGUAAAGCGCACGUAGGCGGUUUACUAAGUCGGAUGUGAAAUCCCCGGGCUCAACCUGGGAACUGCACCCGAUACUGGUAGACUAGAAUUUGGGAGAGGUGAGUGGAAUUUCCGGUGUAGCGGUGAAAUGCAUAGAGAUCGGAAGGAACACCAGUGGCGAAGGCGACUCACUGGACCAAAAUUGACGCUGAGGUGCGAAAGCGUGGGUAGCAAACAGGAUUAGAUACCCUGGUAGCGUCGUCU
rnacentral:rRNA from 1 species